rnacentral:rRNA from 1 species
GAUGAACGCUAGCGGCAGGCCUAAUACAUGCAAGUCGAGGGGCAGCACAGGUAGCAAUACUGGGUGGCGACCGGCGCACGGGUGCGUAACACGUAUAUAAUCUGCCCUUAUCUGGGAAAUAGCCCGGAGAAAUUCGGAUUAAUGUCCCAUAACAUUAUGAUGUGGCAUCACAUUAUAAUUAAAGCUCAGGCGGAUAAGGAUGAAUAUGCGACUGAUUAGUUAGUUGGUGAGGUAACGGCUCACCAAGACUUCGAUCAGUAGGGGUACUGA